CUGGGAUGAGCAUGAGCCAUUACUCGUUCCAGAGUGGAUUCAUUCCCCUCCACCUCCCAAAGCGAUCAGGGAUUACGGAGAGAACUUGAAAAAGGAGCGGUAAGAAACGACAGAGAGAGAGAGAGAGAGAGAGAGAGAGA